UACGUAGGGGGCAAGCGUUGUCCGGAAUUAUUGGGCGUAAAGAGCGCGUAGGCGGUCCGAUAAGUCGGCUGUGAAAGUCCAGGGCUCAACCCUGGAAAGCCGGCCGAUACUGUCGGACUAGAGUCCGGAAGAGGCGAGUGGAAUUCCCGGUGUAGCGGUGAAAUGCGCAGAUAUCGGGAGGAACACCAAUGGCGAAGGCAGCUCGCUGGGACGGUACUGACGCUGAGGCGCGAAAGCUAGGGGAGCGAACGGG
rnacentral:rRNA from 1 species